rnacentral:rRNA from 1 species
CGGCGGACGGCUGAGUAACGCGUAGGAACGUACCCCAAAGUGAGGGAUAAGCACCAGAAAUGGUGUCUAAUACCGCAUAUGCUCCAAGGAGUAAAGCUUCGGCGCUUUGGGAACGGCCUGCGUCUGAUUAGCUUGUUGGUGAGGUAAAAGCUCACCAAGGCGACGAUCAGUAGCUGGUCUGAGAGGAUGACCAGCCAGACUGGGACUGAGAACGGCCCAG